rnacentral:lncRNA from 1 species
GGCUGAGCACAGCUCAGCUGUUCGCCCUCCACACCGAUCCCACGGCAGAACCAUUCCAUGCCGGAACACAGAGGGACCCACGACUCAGCGCCGGGGUUUGCAGCUGGAUGAAGUCAGGCCAGGCCAGAGGGUGAGCAACCCCCGGCUCUGCAUGGAUUGCAAUGGGGAAAGCCAGCUGCAGUAAGAGCCCGGCGCAGUUGGAGCACGGCCUCUUCCUCCAGGCUCUCCUCCUCCUCCUCCUGCUCUGCUGCAGGCAUG